rnacentral:miRNA from 1 species
AGGAAGGGGGCCAAGGGGUUUGG